CAUUCAGGAUCCACGAUGCAGUAAAGAGGAGAGUUCAUCCUGGUUCAACAUGGCUCACCUAUGCACCAGUCCGACUUCUAAUAAGCCAUGACACAUUUCACGAAGCAGAACGCAGUCUUCAGAAAUAUCUAAGUGAACACUGUGAUACGUCUGACCUUCAGUCCGAAGCUGAAACUCAGACCAGUCAUAAAAGAAAGCACAAACCAAAUCCCCUGUACACAUAUAGUGACUCAGAGGAUGAGCAGCCCACAAAGAAAUGGUUUCCCCAGGCCCCUCGAGUGAAAAUACCAGGUAAUAAAAUACUGUCUAGUGUCUUUGUACAUAUC